UUAGAUACCCUAUGAUUUUGAAUGAAAUAUAUAAAUCCAGGCUAGUAUUAGUUAUGUUCUUGAAAAUUAAAGAAGAUGGCGGUAUUUUAGUCUAUUCAGAGGAACCUGUCCUAUAAUUGAUGGUCCACGAUUUAUUAUACUUACUUUUUUAGUUUGCAUAUCGCCGUAGGUUGAAUGUUCUUUAAGGAAAGAAACAUUCAGGAGGUUUUUUAUGUGAAAAUAAAUCAGGUCAAGAUGUAGCUUAUAGGUAAGAAGAGAUGGGUUACAAUAAAUUAAUUUAUUAUGGAUUAAUAAAUGAAAUUUUAUUAUGAAGGUGGAUUUGAAGGUAAUUUUAUAAAAAUUUAUAAAAUGAUUAUAGCUCUAAAAUAUGUACACAUCGCCCGUCG
rnacentral:rRNA from 1 species